rnacentral:rRNA from 1 species
CGGUAACAGGUCUUCGGACGCUGACGAGUGGCGAACGGGUGAGUAAUACAUCGGAACGUGCCCAGUCGUGGGGGAUAACUACUCGAAAGAGUAGCUAAUACCGCAUACGAUCUGAGGAUGAAAGCGGGGGACCUUCGGGCCUCGCGCGAUUGGAGCGGCCGAUGGCAGAUUAGGUAGUUGGUGGGAUAAAAGCUUACCAAGCCGACGAUCUGUAGCUGGUCUGAGAGGACGACCAGCCACACUGGGACUGAGACACGGCCCAGACUCCUACGGGAGGCAGCAGUGGGGAAUUUUGGACAAUGGGCGAAAGCCUGAUCCAGCAAUGCCGCGUGCAGGAUGAAGGCCUUCGGGUUGUAAACUGCUUUUGUACGGAACGAAAAAGCUUCUCCUAAUACGAGAGGCCCAUGACGGUACCGUAAGAAUAAGCACCGGCUAACUACGUGCCAGCAGCCGCGGUAAUACGUAGGGUGCGAGCGUUAAUCGGAAUUACUGGGCGUAAAGCGUGCGCAGGCGGUUGGUUAAGCAAGAUGUGAAAGCCCCGGGCUCAACCUGGGAACUGCGUUUUGAACUGGCCAGCUAGAGUACGUCAGAGGGGGGUGGAAUUCCGCGUGUAGCAGUGAAAUGCGUAGAGAUGCGGAGGA